rnacentral:misc_RNA from 1 species
CCAAAUUACCAUGCAGGAACUGGCAGCACAAGGACUAGCAGCCCAGAUCCUUCCCCCUCCUAUCACAAAAACGGAUUUUGAUAAGGUCCUUGCAAGGCAAAGGCCAACUGUGAGCAAAGCUGAUUUAGAGGUUCAUGAGAGAUUCACAAAGGAGUUUGGAGAGGAAGGCUAAUGAACGUGGUGAUAUGAUCAAUCCAUACUCAUGAAUUCAACUGCUAUGAUAUGUAUUUUAGUUGUUACUGCUGGUUCCAGUGAAUUGCAUCAAAAGGGGAAGCUGGCUUGACUUUCCCUUUGUAUUGAGAUGAAAAAACUGAAUUGAAUACUCGUUAAAUUGCUUGUUUCAAAUUGUGUAAAGAAGAUUUUUAGAAAUAUCAUCGCAGAAUGUUAUUAAAAAAAAUCUUCUUUACACAAUUUGAAACAA